UAUGGGCCCUUUUCACAGAGCUUGAUGACGUGUUUCCGGUUUGGUUUAGCAGGGUAAACACAGCGGCGCUAGAAUGGAGUUCACUGCUGUCUCUGCACAAACUUCUAUUGAUUUCUUUCUCCGACAUCUCACUGAUUAUAGAUGAGGUAUCAGUAGCGAAAAUAUCGAAGGUUUACAAGGAUUACAAGCUUUUUGUCGAGGAAUACAUCUUUAAUUUUGAGGGUGACUUCAUACCACCCAGAUCCUGUGGAGGUAAUAAAGACAUCGUGCAAGUGUUGCGGGGAAGGCCUUUUCCAAUCAUACUAUUGCUCUGCUUUAUCAGAUUGCCCAUUAAAGCACCAUGGGCUUUAAAACAGUCUCUCUCCCAGUAGCCUGUUCUGUUAUAGUUUGUUUUUUGUGGAAAUAUGGAAUUUUCUAAAUAAACUUGUAUUCUUUG